rnacentral:lncRNA from 1 species
CACACAGCCAGCUCCACCGUGACAGCAGCCCAGGGCUCCGUCGUCCCCAUCUCCACACCCUUAGGCCAAUCACAAUGAGCGUCUCCACAGUGCGGUGCCCUGGGACGCACAGCACUUAGCCAGGGGAGCCUGAGCCAGGGGAUCGCUGCCUCCUUCAGAGGGGAGGGUGGAGCCUGGAGAAGGGGAGAAGAGCCUGCGUGCCUCUCAACCCAAGCAGGCUCCACCCGCCCUCUGAAAAAUGGAUCUGGAAAGUUUACUUGGGCUGCAGUUUGGAAGGAGAAACAGAUUCCUGUGCACUGAGGCUUGGUACACCCUGGGGAUAAAAACCGAAGAAUAGCCAUGUAACCAUCCCAUCCAGUUGGCCCUGUGACCUGCAUUGGCCAAUGGGACACUAGCAAAAGUGAUGCAAGCAGGGCUCUGAAAGGUGCUGCGCACUGAGACUUAUUAUCCUGCAGCUUCUGGAGCCCUUCGACUGCUGCUGUUUGAAGAAGCCCAGGCUAGCUUAUUGGAUGGUGAGAGGGAUACGGCCUGGUCACCCCUAUGCCCUGGCCCUCAGCGUGCCAGAUGGGACCAUCUAGUUGCAGGGAAACAAGCUGGGGGCUCCCCUUGUUCUACAUUAUGAUAUGAUCCAUGGAUGCACAGAGGGCCUUUGUACUUUGCUGGAGAAAAGCGUGCACACUAGACAGACUCAUCUCCCAUGGAAUCUGCUGACAGAUCUCUCUGGGGACCCCUGGGCAGCUAUGUGUCCAGCACCACCAGUGGCUCCCCAUUUCUGUGUCUUCUUAGAAGAUCUGACAACCCAGCAUACCUCUUGCUGAUGUUAUGGAUCUGCUGGCUCUGUAAACUAUAAAUUGGCAAACUAGAUUAAUCAAAGAGGAAGCUUUCUGCAUGUGUGCUAACAGUCCCAACUCUCUAAUCUCACAAGGCACCAAUGUGACACUUCUUGCUAAAGAAUGUGGUUAUUAAUAUAUCUGUCUUUGGUUUUCUUUUCUGCUCUUGGAGUGGAAAGCCCCUAGAGAAAUAGUUCCAAAAAGAAUUUAUAAUAUACUUGCUGGAGAAAUAAGAUUUAAGAGGGCAGGCUUUCACAUCAAAGUUUCAGCAUAUGGUAAUGAAGGUUUCUGUUCAGACAGGUGGAGGAGGAGCUGCCUACAUUUCCUGCGGGGGGUGGAGGGGAAGUAGGCAUGGCGGUGAGUCCUGGGCUCUCAGACUUUGCUUAUCAUAUUGUAACAGCUGACCUUGGUCCCCUUUUUGGCUCUGUCUCUAACCCACAGGUCAGCCUAGGAUGUCACUGAUUCAAUUUAUUUCAAUGUCAGGUUGUCAGAUAUAAUUUACAUACAGUAACAUUCCGUUCCCCCUUUUCAGUAUGCAGCUCUAUACGUUGUGACAAAUGUAUGCCAUUCUAUAACCACCAUGAUGAAGACACGGAACAUUUCCAUCACCUCAGAAGUUCCCUUGUGCCCCUUGUAGUCAGCUCCUCUUCUCAGACCCACCCCAAGCUGGCAACCACGGGUCUGCUUUCUAUACCUAUAGUUUUCCUUUUUCAAAAUAUCAUAUAAAUAGUCCAUAGGCAUUUUAACAGCCAAGGUGCCUAAUAAAUAGUGCACUGUGACUAUCAUUGUUUUUCUUGAAUUAAAAAGCCCACCGUGGAGGUGGGUACGUGGAGCCUCUCCUAACUCCAGCUUCCAUAAGCAGACAUGUUUCAACAGAUAUCCUUUUCUUCUUUAACAGAUUCAUUGGGUUCAAAUUCUAGUACUGUCACUCAGUAGCUAAAUAUCUUUGGAUAUUUUAUUUCAAUUCUCAAUAACUUUGUUUUCUUAUUUGUAAAAUGAGAAUUUUAGAAUACCUAUCUUUGGAAGCAAACAAACAAACUAAAGUGAGGGACAACAAAAACAAAAGAAAAUUGCAUUGUUCUUGGGAUCUUAGAAAAUAGCAACAUGAAGUUACUUUAUUUUAAAAUUUAUUCAGCUGACAAUACAGGAAUGGCAUUCAAAGCAAGUUACUUAAAUUCUGUGUGCCUCAAAUUCUGUUGUGUAAAUUGGGGAAACAAGUGUACUUCCCUUAUAAGAUUGCUGUUUUGAUAUUAAAUGAGACAUGAUCCAUAUAAGGUCUUUUGAGCAACCUUAAGCUCAAAAGAAAAUACUCGAAAUAUGUGACUUGUCAGAAUUACAUUUGUAUUUAUGUAGCCCAAAUGCAGCAUACAUUUAAGAAUGCUUUAUAAUCUUGCUGCUGAAUUGUCCAUCAACUGAUAUAUUUUUCUUUCAAUUAUUUAUUCUAACUCAUGUGUCCUAAAAUUCAUCUUUUCAAAGUACACAUUUCAGUGGUUUUUAGUAUGUUCAAGAUGUUGUAAUCCGUCCCCAUUAUCUAAUUCUUGAACAUUUUCAUCACAAAAGCAACCCUGUGCCCAUUAACAGUUACUCCCCAUUCCACUCUCACAUCAGCCUGUGGAAGUCACUCAUUAGUUUUCUGUUUCUGUAGAUUUGCCCAUUCUUGGUAUUUCAUAUAAAAGGAAUCACACGGUAUGUGGCUUUUUGUGUCUGCCUUAUGUCACUAAGCAUAAUGUUUUCAAGGUUCAUCUACAUUGUAGCAUGUAUCCAUACUUUUUUCCUUUCUAUGGUUGAAUAAUAGUCUAUGGUAUAGAUAAUAUUACAUUUUGUUUAUCUGUUCACCAAUUGAUCCAACUGAUGGGCAUUUUGGUCAUUUCCAAUUUGGGGCUAUUAUGAAUAAAGUACCUAUGAACAUUUGUGUAUACAUUUUUCUGGGGGUAUGUUUCACCUCUCUCUUGGGUAGAUAACUAGGAGUGGAAUUGCCAGGUCAUUUGGUAGCUCUAUGUUUAACUUUUUGAGAAACUGACAAACUGUUUUCCAAUGCAGCUGUACCAUUUUCCAGUGCACCCACCAGCAAUGCAGGAAGGUAGCAACUUCUUCACAUCUACUCCAGCACUUCACUUGUAGUGGGCUAUGAUUUGUUCUGAUACCCAGCCUAGUGGCUAUAAUGUUAUAUCUCACUGGGGUUUUUAAUUGUGUUUGCCUAGUGAAAAAUGAUGUCGAGUAUUUUUUGCCUGUUUUUAAAUUGGAUUACUUGUCUUUUUUAUGAUUGAGUUGUAAGUGUUCUUUAAUGUCUGGGUACCUGUAAGAUACAUAUUUCCUCCCAUUCUGUGGGUUGAAUUUUCACUUUCUUCAUGGCAUCCAUUGAAGCACAUAAAAGAUUUGAAAAAGUCCAAUGUAUCUAUUUUUUGUUGUUUUUGUUUGUGCUUUUGGUGUCAUAUGUAAGAAAACAUUGCCAUUGCCUAAUCCGAGAUAAUGAAUAUGUAUGCCUAGGUUUUCUUCAUUUUCUUGUAAGAGUUUUAUAGCUUUAGGUUUGCAUUUAGCUCUUUAAUACAUUUUGAGUUAAUUUUUUAUAUGGUGUGAGGUAGAGUAUCUUGCAUAUGUAUAUCCAGUUGUCUUCCCACCAUUUAUUGAAAAGACAUUUCUGUCUCCAUUGAAUAAUUUUAGCACCCUUGUCAAAAGUUAACUGACCAUAAAUAUAAGGGCUUAUUUAUGGACUGUCAAUUCCAUUUUAGGGAUCUAUACAUCAGUCCUUAUGCCAGUUCCACAUUGUGUUGAUCACUAUAGCAUCGUAGUAAAUUUUGAAACUGAAAAGUGAGAGUCAUGCAACUUUAUUCUUCCUCUGUCUAGUUGUUCUAUCUAUUACUGAAAGUGGCAUAUUGAAG